rnacentral:rRNA from 1 species
GAUCCUGGCUCAGGAUGAACGCUAUCUACAGGCUUAACACAUGCAAGUCGAGGGGAAACGACAUCGAAAGCUUGCUUUUGAUGGGCGUCGACCGGCGCACGGGUGAGUAACGCGUAUCCAACCUGCCUACCACUUGGGGAUAACCUUGCGAAAGUAAGACUAAUACCCAAUGACAUCCCACGAAGACAUCUGAAUGGGAUUAAAGGUAUUCCGGUAGACGAUGGGGAUGCGUUCCAUUAGAUAGUAGGG